rnacentral:rRNA from 1 species
GUAGUCCCAGCCGUAAACCAUGGGCGCUAGACGUCGUCCGUAAGGGCGGUGUCUCAGCUAACGCGUUAAGCGCCCCGCCUGGUGAGUACGGGCGCAAGCCUGAAACUCAAAGGAAUUGGCGGGGGCCCGCACAACCGGUGGAGCGUCUGGUUCAAUUCGAUGCUAACCGAAAAACCUUACCCGGGCUUGACAUGAUGGGAAACCUCUGCGAAAGCGGAGGGUGCCGUCCUCUGGACGGAAUCCCAUCACAGGUGGUGCAUGGCCGUCGUCAGCUCGUGUCGUGAGAUGUUGGGUUAAGUCCCGCAACGAGCGCAACCCCUGCCCUUAGUUGCCACUCUACGGAGGGCACUCUAAGGGGACUGCCGGCGAUAAGCCGGA